rnacentral:rRNA from 1 species
UCCUCCCUCUGGCGGCGUGCUUAACACAUGCAAGUCGAACGGAAAGGCCCUGCUUUUGUGGGGUGCUCGAGUGGCGAACGGGUGAGUAACACGUGAGUAACCUGCCCUUGACUUUGGGAUAACUUCAGGAAACUGGGGCUAAUACCGGAUAGGAGCUCCUGCUGCAUGGUGGGGGUUGGAAAGUUUCGGCGGUUGGGGAUGGACUCGCGGCUUAUCAGCUUGUUGGUGGGGUAGUGGCUUACCAAGGCUUUGACGGGUAGCCGGCCUGAGAGGGUGACCGGCCACAUUGGGACUGAGAUACGGCCCAGACUCCUACGGGAGGCAGCAGUGGGGAAUAUUGCACAAUGGGCGGAAGCCUGAUGCAGCAACGCCGCGUGCGGGAUGACGGCCUUCGGGUUGUAAACCGCUUUCGCCUGUGACGAAGUGUGAGUGACGGUAAUGGGUAAAGAAGCACCGGCUAACUACGUG